AUGCAACCUUGGAGUCUCCCCAAUUGCUGUCUAAGACCCCCUCACUUUCUCCUGGCUUCUUUGCCCACCUAUGGAAGGAGGAUGAACAUAUUUUCUGAAACCUCAACCAGGAGAGAUUGGGAUCACAAGUGGGUAGAAGCCGCAGAUUUGUGGUCAAAUGGAAGAAGGAUUUUCAGAGUGCAGGUGCAGAGCCACCAUCUGGCAGCUGUGCCUUCUGGGGCAUGUGGCCUCAUCGGUGACCGCAGUGGUCACUGCGGAUGGAUGAGGAAAGGAUGUGGAAAGGAUGAGAGCAUGGAGAUCCCAUGGCCCCUCUUCUAUACUCCAACUGAGAAGAGGCGCAUGUCACUUUGGUUCUUAGCUUCCUGCCCAGAACCAGUCGAGGGAAACAAAGAGUGCACCAAGAAGGGGAUAUGAGCCAGAUAUUUCCUGGUGUUCCCCAUAGUUGCCUUUCUUGAAAAAAACAAGAAAGAAAUUGACAGCAAAUUUCAACUAACCAAGCGAUGAAUUAAAUAAAGAACUCAAGAAUGGGGAAGCUGAAGAGAAAGACUGGUGGUAAGCAUUGAGACUAUAGAGAUGUUAGAUUAAUAGUAACAACAUGUAGGAAUUAUGGUUAUAGAUUGGAAUGCAAAUAUUAAAAAACCAAUUGAUGUAAAACUAAUAAUAUGACUAGCUAGAUGAGGGGUUGGGAACAUUUUUCUGUAAAGGGCCAGCUAAUAAAUAUUUCAG
rnacentral:lncRNA from 1 species